UACAGCCUCCCUUCCAGGCUGGACCUGCUACAACAGCACUGACAGGGUUGCUAUCUUUCAAUGGGCGAAUUAUGGGUGGCUCAAUCAUCUGCCACUUGUAAAGGCAGGACCAAAUUUACAGAACUGUGUCUUACAGACAAAAUAUCAGAAGCUAAAUUUAAGGCAAGGCAGCAGACUCCUGCUGACUGUCAAUCCCUUGCUAUCAUCAUCUUUUGAUCUGACCUACAUACACUAGAAUGUCUGAAAUGGCAACGAGAUAGAUGAACAGUGAUGGACAAUUCUCUUGAAUUGUGUUUAAAGCCUUUUAAAAAGCAGUCCUGUGUAUGUUAGUUAUGUGUGGUCAAAUGUUUAUUUUUCUUUGGUUGGAAUCAUUGCCAAUCAGUUUCCCUGGAUGCCGUCGGCCAACCUUCCUCAAGCACCAGUAUUUAGAGAUACUUUCUCUCUUUACAUGCUUAUUCCAAAGUGUUAAUUGUUUUAUACGUCUCUGUCAGGCCCAUGCUACAUUUUCUGUUCCCUAAGCCAAGCCCCCUAACUUUUUAGACAUGUCACCCUAAGAAAGAAACUAAGGCCCUUGAAAAUAUUUUAGAUCCCCUCAUUCUUUUCUAUAUUCUGAUUAUAUCGUUUUUGUUAUGUCAGCCGGCCAGAAUGACACCUCUAAAUGAGAGUGCGCCACAGAUUUCCGUAACAAUUUCAGGAUCUGUGCUUGCUUGGUUUCCAGCUUCUUGCCUAAUAAUUCCUAACACCACAUCUGCCCUUUUCACAGCUGCAGUACAGUCAACCGAUGUUUUCGGUAAACACUCUAUGAUCUCAAGGUUAUCUGUCUUUCCGUGCUGGCUGCAGAUUACUGACUUUCGUUUUAUCUUUUCCCAAUGAACAUGGCUUGGCACUUACAUGGAACUUCAUCUGCUAUUCUAUUCCCCAGCUAUGCAUUCAGGAAAGUUUUCUGAAACCCUCCAAAGGGAUUUUGCCCCCCGCCCCUGAGUAACUUAGUAUCACUAGCGAGUCUGGAUGCUUCAACGCUGUUAUGGAUUGUGGCUUUUGAUAUUGACAAGCUAAUGGUCUUCAAUUCCAAAAGGCUCCCUGUUACCUGUGGUCUCAGCACCAAAACAGUGGACAGUGGAAAGUGGCUUUUUAAAAAAACUGCCCAUUAUAUCUGGGCAACAAAAUACACAGCUAGCAGAUGCCAUUAUUGCCAUUAUUGCUUAGAGCGCCAUUUCUCUGUUAUUGCCUUCGUGGCAUCCUCAGUGCACUACUGUGUCCCAUUAAAGUACUGCCAUUUCUUGUGCAUUGGGAUUUCAUGUGGGCUGAGUUAAGGUUAGUGCCACACACUGAUAUCGUUUCAUGGCUUUCAGAAAGAAUACGCGGGAAAUCAAUCAAAGCUGCUUUGUGGCUUCCAUUUCAAUGGAAGACGCAUGUGGCAACUGUGAUGCGCCGGCAGCAAUUGAUAGAUUGCCCCCUAUAUUGCUAUUUAUUUUUAUUUAGUUAUUAUUAUUUUUUGCAGUAGUGACUUUUUGCUUAUUGCUGCUAUACAUACUGCACUAACGAAAAGUGUUCUAUUCCUUUUUAUUUAAGGAAAAUUCUACCUGCCCUACAUCUUUAUUUAAUAAGUGGAAAUGAAAUUGUCUGGUCAUAACAAUUUCAGGAAGGAUACGCUUCUAAAUUUGUUUAUGGCCACCUUUCAGAAGAGAAAGAAUGUGUGCUUCAGUCUAGGCCAGGCAUGGCCAAACUUGGCCCUCCAGCUGUUUUGGGACUACAACUCCUAUCAUCCCUAGCUAACAGGACCAGUGGUCAGGGACGAUGGGAACUGUAGUCCCAAAACAGCUGGAGGGCCAAGUUUGGCCAUGACUGGUCUAGCUGGUGUCACUCAAAGGGAAUCUGUAUAUCUGAUUUCCGGGGGGAGCGGGGGUUGGGGACGAGUUCAGGUCACUGCUUGUGUAACCACUUUUGGUGUAGGCCUAGGGAAUUUUCAGAUUAUGUGUUGCAAUGAAAAGGUAGCAAAGAAGGAAAUUGUAAAGCUGAAAGCAGCUAGCCGUUCAUUGUCCUUCCAAUUAAUGUUGGGAAUGGUUAAGAUGCAAUUU